rnacentral:lncRNA from 10 species
GGCCUUGCCUGUCACUUUUUCCAGAGGCGAGGGUCGCGGAGGGGACAGCGUCAGGGCCGCUGGGGUGUGGACGGCGGGCGAGGCGCAAACUUUACUAGGAGUUUUUGGCACUUGGAGGCAGAGCCUGUUGGGCGGCACAGCACGCCCGCUGGGAAACGCAGGGGAGCGGCCUGCUUCGCUGAAAACCCGACCAGGACCUAACGGGCCGCGGGACAGAAACCUCCGAGACCAUGGUACACAGCAACUACCGCAACUCGCUCCUCAGCCCCUGACUCUUCGUCCCCGCCCCACAGAGCAGUAUAAGUAGGGCCCGAAACAGAACUGGCAACCGCAGUAGCCAAUCUACUUGCCAACAUCACUUUGACAGCCCAAUCACGAUGAAGAGGAGGCGGGGAGACCGCGGAGUCUCCCUCUGUUGCCCAGGCUGCAGUGCAGUGGUGUGACCUCAGCUCACUGUGAGCUCUGCCUCCUGGGUUCAAGCGAUUCUCUUGUCUCAGCCUCCCCAGUAGCUGGGACUACAGAUGCACGCCACCACGCCCGGCUAAUUUGUGUAUUUUUAGUAGAGACGGGGUUUCACCAUAUUGGUCAGGCUGGUCUCGAACUCCUGACCUCAGGUGAUCCAUCCGCCUCAGCCUCCCAAAGUGCUGGGAUUACAGGUGUGAGCCACUGCGCCUGGCCCAAUAGAGGCACGUUUGUCAAGCUAUUGUAUAGCUGUGGACCAACUGUAUAUGAUCAUGCGCACCUUGGCCAUGCUUG